UACGGGGGGGGCAAGCGUUGUUCGGAAUUACUGGGCGUAAAGGGCUCGUAGGCGGCCAACUAAGUCAGACGUGAAAUCCCUCGGCUUAACCGGGGAAUUGCGUCUGAUACUGGAUGGCUUGAGUUUGGGAGAAGGAUGCGGAAUUCCAGGUGUAGCGGUGAAAUGCGUAGAUAUCUGGAGGAACACCGGUGGCGAAGGCGGCAUCCUGGACCAACACUGACACUGAUGAGCGAAAGCCAGGGGAGCAAACGGG
rnacentral:rRNA from 1 species